rnacentral:rRNA from 1 species
GAUGAACGCUGGCGGCGUGCCUAAUACAUGCAAGUCGAGCGAACAGACGAGGAGCUUGCUCCUCUGACGUUAGCGGUGGACGGGUGAGUAACACGUGGAUAACCUACCUAUAAGACUGGGAUAACUUCGGGAAACCGGAGCUAAUACCGGAUAACAUGUUGAACCGCAUGGUUCAACAGUGAAAGACGGUUUUGCUGUCACUUUUAGAUGGAUCCGCGCCGCAUUAGCUAGUUGGUAAGGUAACGGCUUACCAAGGCUACGAUGCGUAGCCGACCUGAGAGGGUGAUCAGCCACACUGGAACUGAGACACGGUCCAGACUCCUACGGGAGGCAGCAGUAGGGAAUCUUCGGCAAUGGGCGAAAGCCUGACGGAGCAACGCCGCGUGAGUGAAGAAGGUCUUCGGAUCGUAAAACUCUGUUAUUAGGGAAGAACAAAUGUGUAAGUAACUAUGCACGUCUUGACGGUACCUAAUCAGAAAGCCACGGCUAACUACGUG